CAGACUGGCAGUUGGGAACCACUGGCCUAAUGGUUCAAACCAACCUGUGGAUGCCUGGAGGAACAGUCUUCUGGGCAAGCUGCCAAGGCAGCACAGUUUCUGUGCCAGGCUAUGGGUCGCCAGAAGCCACUGUGAGGCCAAGUGCCGGAUUCUCUUCUUCAUGAAGAUCAAGGAUUCCUUGCCACUCCCGAUUAGCUCAAGAAGAACCAUUUGCAGCUUCUGACUUUACUCUCUUGCCUGGAGAUGUUGAUCCAGCAGCCCACAGAAGAAUAUACUGAAAGGAGGGGGGACAGGCUGGCACAAAGGCCCGCCCUGCCCUUACCUGUACUCGAG